rnacentral:rRNA from 1 species
UACGUAGGGGGCAAGCGUUGUCCGGAAUCAUUGGGCGUAAAGAGCGUGUAGGCGGUUCGGUAAGUCUGCCGUGAAAACCUGGGGCUCAACCCCGGGCGUGCGGUGGAUACUGCCGGGCUAGAGGGUGGUAGAGGCGAGUGGAAUUCCCGGUGUAGCGGUGAAAUGCGCAAAUAUCGGGAGGAACACCAGUAGCGAAGGCAGCUCGCUGGGCCAUUCCUGACGCUGAGACGCGAAAGCUAGGGGAGCGAACAGG